AACGAACGCUGGCGGCAUGCCUAACACAUGCAAGUCGAACGAGACCUUCGGGUCUAGUGGCGCACGGGUGCGUAACGCGCGGGAACCUGCCCUUAGGUUCGGAAUAACUCCCCGAAAGGGGUGCUAAUACCGGAUAAUGUCUUCGGACCAAAGAUUUAUCGCCUUUGGAUGGGCCCGCGUUGGAUUAGCUAGUUGGUAGGGUAAAAGCCUACCAAGGCGACGAUCCAUAGCUGGUCUGAGAGGAUGAUCAGCCACACUGGGACUGAGACACGGCCCAGACUCCUACGGGAGGCAGCAGUGGGGAAUAUUGGACGAUGGGCGAAAGCCUGAUCCAGCAAUGCCGCGUGAGUGAUGAAGGCCUUAGGGUUGUAAAGCUCUUUUACCCGGGAUGAUAAUGACAGUAUCGGGAGAAUAAGCUCCGGCUAACUCCGUG
rnacentral:rRNA from 1 species